UACGGAGGGGGCUAGCGUUGUUCGGAAUUACUGGGCGUAAAGCGCACGUAGGCGGCUUUGUAAGUUAGAGGUGAAAGCCCAGGGCUUAACCCUGGAAUUGCCUUUAAGACUGCAUCGCUAGAAUCGUGGAGAGGUGAGUGGAAUUCCGAGUGUAGAGGUGAAAUGCGUAGAUAUCGGAAGGAACAUCAGUGGCGAAAGCGGCUUCCUGGACCAGCACCGACGUUCAGGCACGAAAGCGUGGGGAGCAAACAGG
rnacentral:rRNA from 1 species